rnacentral:rRNA from 1 species
GAUGAAUGCUGGCGGCGUGCCUAACACAUGCAAGUCGAGCGGCAGCGAGGGGUGCUUGCACCCUGUCGGCGAGCGGCGGACGGCUGAGUAACGCGUGGGAAUCUACCCUAAAGUGAGGGAUAACCGCCCGAAAGGGUGGCUAAUACCGCAUAUGAUCUUCGGAUUAAAGGAUUUAUCCGCUUUAGGAAGAGCCCGCGUUAGAUUAGGUAGUUGGUAGGGUAAUGGCCUACCAAGCCAACGAUCUAUAGCUGGUCUGAGAGGAUGAUCAGCCAGACUGGAACUGAGACACGGUCCAGACUCCUACGGGAGGCAGCAGUGAGGAAUCUUCCACAAUGGGCGAAAGCCUGAUGGAGCAACGCCGCGUGAAGGAUGAAGGCCUUCGGGUUGUAAACUUCUUUUAUGAGUGAAGAAUAUGACGGUAACUCAUGAAUAAGCACCGGCUAACUAC